rnacentral:misc_RNA from 1 species
AAGUCGUAACAAGGUUUCCGUAGGUGAACCUGCGGAAGGAUCAUUAUUGAAUGAACUUAGAGUCGGUUGUCGCUGGCUGUCUUUGGCAGCAUGUGCACGCCUUCUCUUUUCAUCCACACACCCCUGUGCACUUGUGAGACUGGAGGCCGUAAAAAGCCUUCAGUCUGCUAAAUUCAUAUACAAACUCAUUUAAUUGAACUGAAUGUACUUGAUGUAACGCAUCAUUAAACUAAGUUUCAACAACGGAUCUCUUGGCUCUC